AUGAACGCUAGCUACAGGCUUAACACAUGCAAGUCGAGGGGCAGCAUGGUCUUAGCUUGCUAAGGCCGAUGGCGACCGGCGCACGGGUGAGUAACACGUAUCCAACCUGCCGUCUACUCUUGGACAGCCUUCUGAAAGGAAGAUUAAUACAAGAUGGCAUCAUGAGUCCACAUGUUCACAUGAUUAAAGGUAUUCCGGUAGACGAUGGGGAUGCGUUCCAUUAGAUAGUAGGCGGGGUAACGGCCCACCUAGUCUUCGAUGGAUAGGGGUUCUGAGAGGAAGGUCCCCCACAUUGGAACUGAGACACGGUCCAAACUCCUACGGGAGGCAGCAGUGAGGAAUAUUGGUCAAUGGGCGAGAGCCUGAACCAGCCAAGUAGCGUGAAGGAUGACUGCCCUAUGGGUUGUAAACUUCUUUUAUAAAGGAAUAAAGUCGGGUAUGCAUACCCGUUUGCAUGUACUUUAUGAAUAAGGAUCGGCUAACUCCGUGCCAGCAGCCGCGGUAAUACGGAGGAUCCGAGCGUUAUCCGGAUUUAUUGGGUUUAAAGGGAGCGUAGAUGGAUGUUUAAGUCAGUUGUGAAAGUUUGCGGCUCAACCGUAAAAUUGCAGUUGAUACUGGAUAUCUUGAGUGCAGUUGAGGCAGGCGGAAUUCGUGGUGUAGCGGUGAAAUGCUUAGAUAUCACGAAGAACUCCGAUUGCGAAGGCAGCCUGCUAAGCUGCAACUGACAUUGAGGCUCGAAAGUGUGGGUAUCAAACAGGAUUAGAUACCCUGGUAGUCCACACGGUAAACGAUGAAUACUCGCUGUUUGCGAUAUACUGCAAGCGGCCAAGCGAAAGCGUUAAGUAUUCCACCUGGGGAGUACGCCGGCAACGGUGAAACUCAAAGGAAUUGACGGGGGCCCGCACAAGCGGAGGAACAUGUGGUUUAAUUCGAUGAUACGCGAGGAACCUUACCCGGGCUUAAAUUGCAGAUGAAUUACGGUGAAAGCCGUAAGCCGCAAGGCAUCUGUGAAGGUGCUGCAUGGUUGUCGUCAGCUCGUGCCGUGAGGUGUCGGCUUAAGUGCCAUAACGAGCGCAACCCUUGUUGUCAGUUACUAACAGGUUCUGCUGAGGACUCUGACAAGACUGCCAUCGUAAGAUGUGAGGAAGGUGGGGAUGACGUCAAAUCAGCACGGCCCUUACGUCCGGGGCUACACACGUGUUACAAUGGGGGGUACAGAGGGCCGCUACCACGCGAGUGGAUGCCAAUCCCAAAAACCUCUCUCAGUUCGGACUGGAGUCUGCAACCCGACUCCACGAAGCUGGAUUUGCUAGUAAUCGCGCAUCAGCCACGGCGCGGUGAAUACGUUCCCGGGCCUUGUACACACCGCCCGUCAAGCCAUGGGAGCCGGGGGUACCUGAAGUGCGUAACCGCGAGGAGCGCCCUAGGGUAAAACUGGUGACUGGGGCU
rnacentral:rRNA from 1 species